rnacentral:rRNA from 1 species
UGAGGAAUUUUGCGCAAUGGGCGAAAGCCUGACGCAGCGACGCCGCGUGGGCGAUGAAGCUUCUUGGAGUGUAAAGCCCUGUCAGGUGGGACGAAUCCGGGGGGUGCAAAUAGUGCCUCUCGCUGACGGUACCACCAGAGGAAGCCCCGGCUAACUCCGUGCCAGCAGCCGCGGUAAUACGGAGGGGGCAAGCGUUGUUCGGAAUCACUGGGUGUAAAGGGUGCGUAGGCGGUCCGUUAAGUCUGAUGUGAAAGCCCUGGGCUCAACUCAGGAAUUGCAUUGGAAACUGGCGGGCUGGAGUACGGGAGAGGGAAGCGGAAUUCCUGGUGUAGCGGUGAAAUGCGUAGAUACCAGGAGGAACACCGGUGGCGAAGGCGGUUUCCUGGCCCAGUACUGACGCUGAGGCACGAAAGCGUGGGGAGCGAACGG